UGCCACUAUGAUGACACUUAUUUGCUACUCUUGAUCAGAAUGAUGAGAAUGAGAUCCACCUAUAAUUGAAACUGAGGUG
rnacentral:snoRNA from 1 species